ensembl:lncRNA
UCCUAGUCACAUUCUGAAAAAUCAAGAGGAAAAUGUCACUUUGCAAUGUAUGGUGUUUUUUUGUUUCUGUUUUUGUUUUUGUUUUGUUUUGUUUUGUUUUAACAUCCUAUGAGUCCACAAAGUCGUAUUUAAAAGUUUCCAACAGGAAUUGCAAGCAUAAGCUUACAGACUGAUGAAGAGUUUCUGGAUCUUUCCUUAGGAGAAUCUCUGUAAUUUCAAUAGGCAUUAAGCCGUGUCAACAGUUUGAAGUGAGUUUUCAAAGUAAAAACUAAACUCGAGCUCACCUCCACCCUAUCUCACCUCCAGUGCAAAGUGUGUGUGAGGGAGGUUAUGGGGGAGGGGAGGGUGUUUGCCUCAAUGAGAGAGGGAGAGAAGGGGAAAGAGAGAGAGAGGAUUUUCAACUGGAUUAAAUGAUCUGAAUAGUUUACAGGUUUCCAGUGGGGGCUGAGCUGGGGUGGCUGCAGCAGCUGCUCCGAGGAGAGAAUAAAGGAUUUGCUAGAGCUUUGUGACUCUGUAUGUCUGCUGUGGAUUGAUCUGAGAGCCUUUUUUAUCCUCCUUUUUGGGGAAAAGGGGGGAGGCUUUCUUUUCAGAGUCACAUUAUCUUUCAACAAAGGCUGACCCAGGACGAGUGGUAUCUAGGGAAUUGUGCACUUGCUGGAAGAGGUGGGCUGCAGCCUGUUGCAAGGAGUAGGCAGGCAGGACUCAACAGAUGGGUCUAGAGCCCAGGAGGGGGUGCGGGUGGGUGAACUCCGGCCUCCCAGGCUUCUCCCACCCCUUCAGCCCCAAACCUUCUCCCAGGUGGCUUGUACUGAUUAGCAUGUCAGCAUCAUUCAGAUCCCUUCGGAGAAGGGCCGGUAUGUGUAUGGUUCGGGGCCUGUGAGUGUGUGGCUUCCAUGGCUCAGGAAAAGAGAAGGGGUAGUGAAGAUCCCUAUGAAGACAAGCAAGCUUCCAUCUAUAGAGAACUGUAGUGAAGAAGGAAUUUUAAGUAGGUUCCAGUGUUCUAAUUGUAUCUUCCCUUUCUCCUUACACAGAAGAAAGGAAGCUAGAAUGGGUGGCUUGAGAGCCCCACUUUCCUUGUACUUUGUAUGUAGAUCAGUCGGCUGUGUCAAAGGAUUCAUUUGGUAGAAGAUGUCUGCAGCUCAAGUAUGACCAUCAAGCAGUCUCUCAAUCACACAGUACCCAGAACUGCCCAUCCAAAGAUGUCUCCUUGGACAAACAAGGAAGGACUGAAGCGUUAAUAGAUCCUCAAGGCCUUCUCUCUCUGCCUCCAUCAUUGCUACUGCUUUAUUAUUCUGCAAAGGUAUAGCCGAUUCAUGACCUGCAUUUUCCUCAAGUUUUGAAGAUAACUAAAACAAAAUGAGGAUGUGUCCUCUGUCAUUCUGGCACCAUGUCCCUUUAUUAAUUACUAUGUGAUCCUGGUGGGGAGGGGAAGUCACUUAACCUUUGUAUGUUUCCCCAUUUGUAAAAUAAUUAUCUGUAUUGCCUCUCAACUUCAAGAUGGUUGUCAGGAAAAUUCUUUGUAGAUCUUAAAAUGUAUAUAUGAACUAUUCUUAUCAAAAAUAAAAGAACUAGAUAUGAAGAAGUUCCUAAGGCAUAUGAACUUAAAUAUAUAUGUAUAUAACUUUUUUCAAUAUAAUAAAUUGGACUCUUUUGUGAUCAUUUGUAUAUUUAUGCUUUUAAAGACUUUACUCUUAGAAAGGGGCACAUGGGCUUCACCAAACUACCAACAGGUCUAGGAUACACAAAAGGUCUUAAUUUGAAUUAGAGGUGAUAAAAGAGAGAGUACUAUGAAGGAGAAAUGAAGAAGGGGAAGAAUGGGGUCUAUUAGGACAGAGUAACAGAGAACCAAAAGGGGCCUUUACUAAGGAAUAAGUUCUUACAAGAAGAGGCUUCCCAUUCUUCAGCACUAGAGGAACAGAAUCUACCUUAUUGUUCAAGGUAGGAAGGAGAGAACAAAAUUCUUGAGCAACUGUAAAUAUUUUUCCGUUUGUGACUUAUCGUGGUAAAGAAAAAAAAAAAAUAAUGGCUUCUCCUAGGAGUAACAGUUUAAAAUUCAGUAGACCAGAGGGUGGGACAGAAAAAUGAAAUUUCCUCCUACUCAACACCAUGACUACUCUUUCUAUACAUUUCAGGGAGCUCUUUCUUUCAUAGGCUCUGGAACACUGCCUAGGAGGGACAUGGUGUCAUUUGGAAAUCUGAAGGCCUCCUAAGGAUUUUAAUUUUUACUUUUUGACACCCCAGUACUCAACUUGGUUUGCUCCUCAGGUAGUUUCAAUCCUCCCAGAAAUGAACGUUCUGUCAUAGUACUGGUCAGGAGAACUAAGUUCAAUGACUAGAAACCAGUUUGGGCUUGUAGCAAAACCUGCCAGAGAGAGCCCCAUGCCAGCCAUGCAUGGGCAACUCUCUUUGAGCCAGUGAGAUGUUCCCUUGGGUAUUCAGCUGAAAGGCCAAUUCCGUGGGUGCCACCCUGAGGUGUGUAGAGUGGCAGGCCCAGGCAGGGCAUUCUGACAUGCUAGAGGGCAUGAAAUUAGAAUCCGGGGCGUGUGUGGAAUCUCUAUCGAACAUGUGUUUUAAUAGCGACACAGAGAUCACUUUAACCCUAGCUGAAACUCAGUUGUGAUGGGGGGGGGGGGGAAGUCUUGCUCUUUCCCCAAAGGUGCCAUCUUAAGUUCUGUUGUUUAUUAGGAAGUAUCUAAUUAUAUAUAAACAAAAAUCUAUGAAUAAAAAAAACAACAACAGGGUAUUUACCCCACACUGGAAGACUUGGGUUGUAGGGAGGGAAGGGAAGCACGGUUAAAAUGACUAUCAGUAAGGAGAUUUUAGAAAACAAAUGGCUACUUGCAAUUGAGGGUAGAAAACAGAUGUGGUAGCCAUUCCUUGAUUUUGAGAAUCACUGAGAAGUUACCUCGGCUACCUGGACCUUUCAAAUGCUAAACCGCAUCUGAAUAGUUCGGAAAAAUAAGGGGCACUUACUACUCAAGUCUGGAAAUAGAGACUGGAAAUUCUCUCCCUCUCCCAGGAGAGUUCUUGAAGUUUCUCGGGGAAACUCCCAAAUACCAAUUAGGAAGUUCCGUUAAUUGAUUUCAAAUUCAUCCGUAUUCGGUUGUUUGCUCUAAAGUUUCAGUUUUCUCCGCAAUACUCAACAUAAUGGAAAAUCCGAGGGGGGAGCGAGAGGGAGAGGUGAAGGGGAGAGAGGGGAAAGGAAAGAGGAGCGAAAGAGAGAGCCAGACACGGACACACCGACACAAAGCCCUCAACUUCUGGGGGGAGAGGUCCGUCUUUUUUUGCAGGACUUCAAUGCUGGGCUAGUCUUAGAAUCGUCAUCGCCCAUGUUGUGGGAUAAUAAGUAAAAGCUAAAAGCCUUCCAUGCAACCACGCAUCACAGCAGAGCUCCAGUGGCCAGCGCGACCGCUAGUUCGGGGUGGGUGGGUCAGAACUUGCGGGCUUCUAAUGACUUGGCAUCUGUAGGAUCUGCCACCUCCUGAAUAGUUUGGAGGCCGCCUACAGGUGCAAUACCCACAUUGCUCAAACAAAGCUGCCCGCCUUCCUGGGCAGCCGAGCCUGUCUCCGGGAGGGGAAGAACUGGGAGGGAAAGCCCAGGAAGCGACGUCUAAGAAUAGUCUAACCCGCUCGCCCUUCCCUGGUCGCCCCCCGGAUCCAGCAGAGGGGGAAGGGACACACUGGGUCUCCUUUACUUGCGUCUCCACCUCCCCGCCACACCCCCUAGCGCUUUAAACUGGGCAGUUCGGGAGGAGGCAUCUGGCGAGCAAGAGAGGCUUCGCAAACUGGUCCCACUGCUGGGGAAGACGGGGCGGAGGAGGAGACAGUAGGAUCAGGACUCCCAUCCCUCAGUCGCAGACGCUCGGGUAACGUUUUCCCCAAAACUCCCGGCAAAGGGGGCUGCCCGGCGUCUCGGGCCCGCCGCCCCGCCUCUAGGUGGCCCCGGACAGCCCGCGCUGUUGCACGCUCAGGUCCGCCGCUAGCUC